rnacentral:rRNA from 1 species
ACACGCAUGACACACUGCAUAUCAAUAAGCGGAGGAAAAGGUACCUACGCUUAGGAUGUUGACGAGACUGUCGAUCUCAUCUAUACAUGACCUACUGUGCAUAUCAAUAAGCGGAGGAAAAGAAACUAACAAGGAUUCCCUUAGUAACGGCGAGUGAAGCGGGAAGAGCUCAAAUUUGAAAUCUUCAAGGUUCUACCUUGACGAAUUGUAGUUUAUAGAAGUGUUUUCUGUUAGUAGAGUGGCAAAAGUUCUUUGGAAUAGGACAUCAUAGAGGGUGAGAAUCCCGUAUUUGGUCAUUCCUCCUAGCGUUGUGAUACACUUUCAACGAGUCGGAUUGUUUGGGAAUGCAGUCCAAAAUGGGUGGUAAAUUUCAUCUAAAGCUAAAUAUUGGCGAGAGACCGAUAGCGAACAAGUACCGUGAGGGAAAGAUGAAAAGAACUUUGAAAAGAGAGUUAAACAGUACGUGAAAUUGUCAAAAGGGAAGCGUUUGACACCAGUGUUGUUUUUCCGAAAAUCAAUUACGAAUGUUUUGUUUUUGAGGAGUUAUGACUUCAUCGGCUUGCUUCUCUCUUUACGAAACUUUCUUAAUGCACUUUUCGGUUAACAAGUCAACAUCAAUUUCUUUUGUUGUAAAAGGGUAUGAGGAAGGUGGCUUUCUUUUCGGAGAAAGUGUUUAUAGCCUUGUGCCUCUGCAAUCGGAGAGAUUGAGGUCUGCAGCGUAGAUCCUUCGGGGCUAGAUACAUUUGUGCUAAGUUAUAGCUUUUCAUAGACAACUUGUUGACUAUGUUAAGUCUUGUAGCUUACUCGCUUAUGCUAUUUUACCUACGCUUAGGAUGUUGACGAGACUGUCGAUCUC